AUUGAACGCUGGCGGCAGGCCUAACACAUGCAAGUCGAGCGAACGGCGGACGGGUGAGUAAUGUCUGGGAAACUGCCUGAUGGAGGGGGAUAAAUACUGGAAACGGUAGCUAAUACCGCAUACCAUACGAUGUGCCCAGAUGGGCUGCGCCUGGAGGUGGGGUAACGGCUCACCUAGGCGACGAUCCCUAGCGGGUCUGAGAGGAUGACCAGCCACACUGUAACUGCGACACGGUCCAGACUCCUACGUGAGGCAGGAGUGUGGAAUAUUGCACAAUAGGCGCAAGCCUGAUGCAGCCAUGCCGCGUGUGUGAAGAAGGCCUUAGGGGUGAAAAGCACGUUCAGCGGGGAGGCGUUACCCGCAGAAGAAGCACCGGCUAACUCCGUGCCAGCAGCCGCGGUAAUUC
rnacentral:rRNA from 1 species